AAUUCUGGUUGAUCCUGCCAGAGGUUACUGCUAUCGGGGUUCGAUUAAGCCAUGCAAGUUAAAUGUUUUUCGUAAACAUAGCGAACUGCUCAGUAACACGUGGAUAACUUAACCUUAGGUCCGGCAUAACCCCGGGAAACUGGGGAUAAUUCCGGAUGUAUCAAGGAUGCUGGAAUGCCCUUUGGUUCAAAGCUUUUGUGCCUAAGGAUAGGUCUGCGGUCUAUCAGGUAGUAGUGGGUGUAACGUACCUACUAGCCGACGACGGAUACGGGUUGUGAGAGCAAGAGCCCGGAGAUGGAUUCUGAGACACGAAUCCAGGCCCUACGGGGUGCAGCAGGCGCGAACACUUUACAAUGCGGGAAACCGCGAUAAGGGAACCCCGAGUGCCAGUACUAAGUGCUGGCUGUCUAGAUGAAUAGAUAUCAUUUAAUAGCAAGGGCCGGGCAAGACCGGUGCCAGCCGCCGCGGUAACACCGGCGGCCCGAGUGGUAACCGAUAUUAUUGGGUCUAAAGGGUCCGUAGCCUGUUUAAUAAGUCCUUUGGGAAAUCUGGCAGCUUAACUGUCAGGCUGCUAAAGGAUACUGUUAAACUUGGGACCGGUAGACGUAGGGGGUACUCCAGGGGUAGGAGUGAAAUCUUGUA
rnacentral:rRNA from 1 species